GGGCUGGGGCUCAGCGGUAGAGCACUUGCCUAGCACGUGCGGGGCCCUGGGUUAGAUCCUCAGCACCACA
rnacentral:tRNA from 1 species